UACAGAGGCCCCAAGCGUUACUGAGAAUCACUGGGUUUAAAGGGUGCGUAGGUGGCGCGUUAAGUCCGUUGUGAAAUCCCUUGGCUCAACCAAGGAAAUGCUUCGGAUACUGGCGUGCUUGAGGCUAGUAAGGGUCACUGGAACUGACGGUGGAGCGGUGAAAUGCGUAGAUAUCAGGAGGAACACCGGUGGCGAAGGCGGGUCUCUGGGCAGUAACUGACGUGAGGAGCGAAAGCGUGGGGGAGCGAACAGG
rnacentral:rRNA from 1 species